rnacentral:rRNA from 1 species
UACGGAGGGUGCAAGCGUUAUCCGGAUUCACUGGGCUUAAAGGGUGCGUAGGCGGGCAGGUAAGUCCGUGGUGAAAUCUCUGAGCUUAACUCAGAAACUGCCAUGGAUACUAUUUGUCUUGAAUAUUGUGGAGGUAAGCGGAAUAUGUCAUGUAGCGGUGAAAUGCGCAGAUAUCAGGAGGAACACCAAUAGCGAAGGCAGCUCGCUGGGACGGUACUGACGCUAAGGCGCGAAAGCGUGGGGAGCGAACAGG